rnacentral:rRNA from 1 species
AUGGCGCUGGCCCGUCGGUUCAUCUUCCUCUUCCCCGCCGCCGUCCUGGCCGGACUCGCCUCCGCCUCCGCGUCGCCCUUCCUGUCUGACAGAGUUUCCCAGGCCAGCACCGGACUGACGGGGAGGAGGAGCUUGCUGCAGACCAAGAACGACUGCCCUAUGGACUUUGAGUUCCAGAACUACACAAUCAUCACAAGCAGGUGCAAAGGGCUGCAACAUCCUACUAUGGAAUGUUGUGCUGCUUUCAAGGAAUUUUCGUGCCCAUUUGCGGCGUAUAACAACAUGCAGAGCACUAACUGUGCGGCCACAAUGUUAACCUACAUCAACCUCCAUGGCACGUACCCAGCAGGUCUAUUCGACGAGUGCCUAGUAGGCAUGGAAGGGGUUUCUUGCGAAGCCAUUCCAGCAAUAGAAACCGGUAUGUCAAAUGGUGGGCAACGAGUUCAAGGACACAAAUCACGGAACUCACGCCAGAGGGCGCUGUGGAUUAUUGCUGUGGCAGCUCCAUUACUUUCAAUACUCAUGUGCUUUAUCUGUUCCGCUAUAUGGAUGAGAAGACGACGAAAAGGAAAGGUAAACUUACACCAUCAAGCUGCCAUGAAUAGGCCGAAAGUAGAUACAUUGGUUCCGAGAUUGGAAGAGAAGAGUUCAGAGUGCACUCUCUUUGACUUUUGUGUGAUAUUGCAUGCUACACACAACUUCUCCAAAGAAACUCUACUUGGGCGAGGUGGUUUUGGCCCCGUCUACAAGGGGCAAUUACCAGAUGGAAUGGAGAUUGCAGUUAAAAGGCUUGCCUCACAUUCAGGACAGGGUUUCACAGAAUUCCAAAAUGAAGUUGAACUUCUUGCAAAACUACAACACAAUAAUCUGGUCAAGCUCAUGGGAUGCUGCAUUCAGGGAGAAGAAAGACUUUUGGUGUAUGAAUAUUUGCCAAAUAAGAGCUUGGACUUCUUCAUCUUUGAUGAAAGCAUAACAACUUUUGUUGAUUGGAAUAAAAGAUGUUUGAUAAUCGAAGGGAUAGCCCAAGGUCUUCUAUAUCUCCACAAGCACUCUCGGUUGCGCAUCAUACACAGAGACCUUAAGGCCAGUAACAUUCUCUUGGACCAGGACAUGAAUCCUAAAAUUUCUGAUUUUGGGCUAGCAAAAAAUUUCAGCUCCAAUGAUACCCAAGGAAGUACAAGGAGGGUGGUGGGAACAUAUGGUUAUAUGUCUCCGGAGUAUGCAUCUCAAGGCAUUUACUCGGUCAAAUCUGACGUGUUCAGCUUUGGUGUGUUACUUCUCGAGAUCCUUAGCGGAAAAAGGAAUUCUGGUUUCCAUGAGCAUGAAGAUUUUCUGAACCUCCUUGGAUACUCGUGGCAUCUGUGGGAAGGUGGACGUUGCCUUGAGCUUCUAGAAGCAUCGAUUGCUAACGAGGUCCAUGCGGCAGAGGCUAGGAGGUACAUUAACAUUGCACUAAUGUGCGUACAGGAGCAUGCAGACGAUCGACCGACCAUGUCAAACGUUGUCACGAUGCUAAACAGCGAGAGCGUUGCUCUUCCGGAGCCUAACCAUCCGGCAUACUAUAACCUAACGACAACUAAGGAAGAUGAAUCAGCUAAUGUUCCAUGCAGCUAUAAUGGCGUAACCAUCACUGAGGAGCCGGAUGGCAGAUAG